UACGUAGGGCGCAAGCGUUGUCCGGAAUUAUUGGGCGUAAAGAGCUCGUAGGCGGCUUGUCACGUCGGGUGUGAAAGCCCGGGGCUUAACCCCGGGUCUGCAUUCGAUACGGGCUAGCUAGAGUGUGGUAGGGGAGAUCGGAAUUCCUGGUGUAGCGGUGAAAUGCGCAGAUAUCAGGAGGAACACCGGUGGCGAAGGCGGAUCUCUGGGCCUUACCUGACACUGAGGAGCGGAAAGCGUGGGGAGGCGAACAGG
rnacentral:rRNA from 1 species